rnacentral:rRNA from 1 species
UACGUAGGGGGCAAGCGUUGUCCGGAUUUAUUGGGCGUAAAGAGCGUGUAGGCGGCCAGACAAGUCUGCUGUGAAAACUCGAGGCUCAACCUCGAGCUGUCGGUGGAAACUGUCUGGCUAGAGUCCGGAAGAGGAGAGUGGAAUUCCUGGUGUAGCGGUGAAAUUGCGUAGAUAUCUGGAGGAACACCGGUGGCGAAGGCGGCAUCCUGGACCCGGCAUUGACGCUGAGGCGCGAAAGCUAGGGGAGCAAACGGG